rnacentral:rRNA from 1 species
UGAAUUGCAGGACACAUUGAACAUCGACAUCUUGAACGCAUAUUGCGGCCUAGGGUCACUCCCUUGGCCACGCCUGUCUCAGGGUCGGUUAAACAUCUUCGCAAGAAAUUGCGCAUUGGGCUGUCGCAGUCCUCCGGGACUCCGUCGCCUCAAGUUCAGACCCGAUUGCCUUCGCACGUCGUCGGGGCCCUCUCGACUACACAUGACGUAGCUCGCUUACAAGCAGUGCGCCGGUCGAGUUAGGGCCUGUUCUGUCAUGACGACGGGCGGGCGGUCGAAGCCUCGGACGAGUCGUACGACUCUCCAUCCUCCGACCUGAGAUCAGACGAGACAACCCCCUGAAUUUAAGCAUAUCACUAAGGGGAGGAAAAGAAACUAACUAGGAUUCCCUCAGUAACGGCGAGUGAACGGGAAGAGCA